CUGAGAUAACAGUAGUCCUCUUGCAGUGACUGAUCAGUCUCCUCAGACUGCCUCCUCAAAAUGAAGCUUCCUGUUAUGCUGUUGGUGCUGCUGGUGUUCAGGAUUCCUGCUUCCAGAGGGGAUGUUGUGCUGACUCAAACUCCACUCUCCCUGCCUGUCAGCCUUGGAGAUAAAGCCUCCAUCUCUUGCAGGUCUAGUCAGAGUGUUGUACAUAGUAAUGGAAACACGUAUUUAGAAUGGUACCUACAGAAGCCAGGCCAGUCUCCACAGCUCCUGAUAUACAAGGUUUCCAAUAGAUAUUCUGGAGUCCCAGACAGGUUCAGUGGCAGUGGGUCAGGCACAGAUUUCACGCUCAAGAUCAGCAGAGUGGAGCCUGAGGAUUUGGGAGUAUAUUACUGCUUCCAAGGUUCACAUGCUCCUCCCACAGUGAUUCAGACCCUAACAAAAACAUCUUUGCUUGGGGUUGCCCAGCUGCCAAACCUGUUAAUUCUCUGUGAGAGAGAAGUGCUGAGGAACUCCUCAUUAUUUGUUGCAGCUAAGGGCCUUGGAGCAUGA